UAGCUCGAGGUUAGUUCGGGCUAGAGUGUCCGGUGAGGGUGGAGGGAGCCACGAGUUCUUUGCUAGAGGAAGACCAAAGACUAGGUUGUAGGAAAAGCAAAUAGAAGCCAUGUUUCGGAGACCUGUAUUACAGGUGUUUCAUCAGUUUGUAAGACGUGAGUCUGAAAUAGCCAGCAGCUUGGUUCUUGAAAGAUCUCUGAACCGUGUGCAGCUCCUUGGGCGAGUGGGUCAGGACCCCGUCAUGAGACAGGUGGAAGGGAAGAACCCGGUCACAAUAUUUUCUCUAGCAACGAAUGAGAUGUGGCGGUCAGGGGAGAGUGAAGUAUACCAAAUGGAUUUAGGUGAUGUCAGUCAAAAGACGACAUGGCACAGAAUAUCAGUAUUCCGACCAGGCCUCAGAGAUGUGGCGUAUCAGUAUGUGAAAAAGGGGUCCCGUAUCUAUGUGGAAGGGAAAGUCGACUAUGGUGAAUACACAGAUAAAAACAAUGUGAGGCGACAGGCAACAACAAUCAUAGCUGAUAAUAUUAUAUUUCUGAGUGACCAGACCAAAGAAAAGGCAUAGAGUGGACGAUUCUUCUUUGGCCAUUGUUUGGUACGGUCUCAUUUCCAAAUCACGUAUAGUCUUUAUAGUUCCUAAGGACAAGAAUUAAAAUAUUCUUUUAUAUAAAAUGAGUAAUAAUACUUUUGACUGUUCCUCCCCCUUGUCUCAUAAACCUUGGUAGCUAAUUGUUUAUUCUUUUAGGGAUGGUUUCUGUGUACAAGAGUAUAAAACAGAUGAACUUGGGUUCAUCUAUGUUAUGGCAAAAGGAUAGGUGUCCUUUGGGAUGGGCUCUUGCUUUUUAUACACGCUUGUAUUAUAGUACUGAUCCAGCCACUAAAUAUUCUAUGUCAGGCCUUUAUCCCAUUGUUGUGAAUAAUGAUUUUCUUACUGUUUAUAAACUAAAUGGCGAGGACUGUACUGUAUGCUUUUUGUUUCCUGCACCUUAACCAGUGCUUGGCACAGAAUAGGUACUCGAUAAAUGUUGACAGAUGAAUGAUCCCAAUGGGAUAUUAAGCUUCAGCCCAAACUGAAGGGGGUUGCUGAACAGGGGUUGGUAUCGAACCUAAACCUAGCUUUAAGACUAACCGACUUUCUUCACAUCUUUUGUUUUUGGACAGAUUUCACUAGUAGCACUUAUGAAAUAGAGUUUAUCAAUAGUAGAGACCCAAAAUAUAAGUAGGGAUGAACUAGUUCAUUUCCAGGUGAUGCCACAGGGGCUCUGGUUCCACUAGUUUCUGUCUUUCUAAGCCCCAUUCUCUAUCCUUUUAGUCUCACCCAGAACUUGGGGGAGUCCCCUAAACAACCUUUGACAUUGCCUCUGUAGGUUAGAGCCUGAGGUGUGACAUUUUCCUUUUAUUUUUCCACCUGGUCUCUUGAUGCACAUACAAAGAUCAUUGUGUACACACGAUUACUUUCAUUAUGAGAUUCUGGAAAUUACAGAGUACUAGUAAUUUCCUAAUAAGUAUUACAUAAAGUAAAGUCUGUUUUUCAGUGCCUCUUGUACUUUUUAGGUUUGCAUCAGACCUCCACAGGUCUGCUAGCUGGCUGUGCCUGUUUAGAAUUGGCCACUGUCGAGCUGGUUGUCCAGUUCAAGUUGUAGCAGUCCCUCAUUCUGUCUCGGCCACUCAGGCUCCAGCUUUGCCUCCAGCCCAGCCUGUUUUUUGGUGCCCUAGACUACAUGUCUUGUCCCCUGUGCCCGAGAGCAGGGUGCUGACUGUGGUUUAGGUCAUGCUGGACUGUCACGGGUUCCCGGUUUACAUGCUGCCUUAUGGACCCUCACCUGAGCCCCUUUUUGCACUUAUGGUACAGUUGGGUCAGGGUAAAGAUGGAGUUCUUCAGCUUUUCUCUCUUCUUGUCCAGGAACAGUAGAAAAGGAAUUGCCGUUUCCUCAUAUCAGCCGUCUUUUUUCCUGCAGCUGGGACCAUUAAUCAGUACAUGAACUCUGCUUUGUGAGGAAACCUGAAACUGCGUGGUUAAGUAACAUGUCAAAGUCAUGCAGCUUAUAAGAGGCACAGCUGGAGUUUGAGUUUAGUUAACUGUUGCUAAGGGGGUAGAAGCAGACGCCAUUUGGUGGUGCUUCCAGGAAAGCCCCUUAAAUGAUUAGCUCUGUUGGGAGGCUCAUCCUUUGUGCUUCUCCAGACCCUCACCUGGCUUUUUCUGGUCUGAAAUGUGGACAUGAUGGCUGAGAGUCUCCAGUAGCCAUUUUAGACCACAAGACUAUCUGCAGGAUGGAAGAUGGAAGAGGCUGGAGUCCGUGAUGACCAUGGAACCACCAUCGCGGUCCUCGACAGUCUACCUCUGGACUUCUUUGGGAGACACAAAUAAAUCUCUACCUUGUUUACGCCA